rnacentral:lncRNA from 1 species
UGUGUGUGUGUGAGUGCUGGAUGGUGUGUGUGUGUGUGUGCUGGAUUAUGUGUGUGUGCUGGAUGAUGUGUGUGUGAGUGCUGGAUGAUGUGUGUGUGAGUGCUGGAUGAUGUGUGUGUGAGUGCUGGAUGAUGUGCGUGUGAGUGCUGGAUGAUGUGCGUGUGAGUGCUGGAUGAUGUGCGUGUGAGUGCUGGCUGGUGUGUGUGUGAGUGCUGGAUGAUGUGGGUGUGUGAGUGCUGGAUGAUGUGUGUGUGAGUGCUGGAUGAUGUGUGUGUGUGUGCUGGAUGAUGUGUGUGCGAGUGCUGGAUGAUGUGUGUGUGAGUGCUGGAUGAUGU